UACAGAGGGGCAAGCGUUGUUCGGAAUUACUGGGCGUAAAGGGCGCGUAGGCGGCCUGCUAAGUCGAACGUGAAAUCCCCGGGCUCAACCCGGGAACUGCGUCCGAUACUGGCAGGCUUGAAUCCGGGAGAGGGAUGUGGAAUUCCAGGUGUAGCGGUGAAAUGCGUAGAUAUCUGGAGGAACACCGGUGGCGAAGGCGGCAUCCUGGACCGGCAUUGACGCUGAGGCGCGAAAGCCAGGGGAGCAACGGG
rnacentral:rRNA from 1 species